GGCCUAACACAUGCAAGUCGAACGGUAACAUUUCUAGCUUGCUAGAAGAUGACGAGUGGCGGACGGGUGAGUAAUGCUUGGGAACUUGCCUUUGCGAGGGGGAUAACAGUUGGAAACGACUGCUAAUACCGCAUAAUGUCUUCGGACCAAACGGGGCUUAGGCUCCGGCGCAAAGAGAGGCCCAAGUGAGAUUAGCUAGUUGGUAAGGUAAAGGCUUACCAAGGCGACGAUCUCUAGCUGUUCUGAGAGGAAGAUCAGCCACACUGGGACUGAGACACGGCCCAGACUCCUACGGGAGGCAGCAGUGGGGAAUAUUGCACAAUGGGGGAAACCCUGAUGCAGCCAUGCCGCGUGUGUGAAGAAGGCCUUCGGGUUGUAAAGCACUUUCAGUUGUGAGGAAAAGUUAGUAGUUAAUACCUGCUAGCCGUGACGUUAACAACAGAAGAAGCACCGGCUAACUCCGUGCCAGCAGCCGCGGUAAUACGGAGGGUGCGAGCGUUAAUCGGAAUUACUGGGCGUAAAGCGCACGCAGGCGGUUUGUUAAGCUAGAUGUGAAAGCCCCGGGCUCAACCUGGGAUGGUCAUUUAGAACUGGCAGACUAGAGUCUUGGAGAGGGGAGUGGAAUUCCAGGUGUAGCGGUGAAAUGCGUAGAUAUCUGGAGGAACAUCAGUGGCGAAGGCGACUCCCUGGCCAAAGACUGACGCUCAUGUGCGAAAGUGUGGGUAGCGAACAGGAUUAGAUACCCUGGUAGUCCACACCGUAAACGCUGUCUACUAGCUGUUUGUGACUUUAAGUCGUGAGUAGCGAAGCUAACGCGCUAAGUAGACCGCCUGGGGAGUACGGCCGCAAGGUUAAAACUCAAAUGAAUUGACGGGGGCCCGCACAAGCGGUGGAGCAUGUGGUUUAAUUCGAUGCAACGCGAAGAACCUUACCUACACUU
rnacentral:rRNA from 1 species